rnacentral:rRNA from 1 species
AUUGAACGCUGGCGGCAGGCCUAACACAUGCAAGUCGAGCGGAUGAAGAGAGCUUGCUCUCUGAUUCAGCGGCGGACGGGUGAGUAAUGCCUAGGAAUCUGCCUGGUAGUCGGGGACAACGUUUCGAAAGGAACGCUAAUACCGCAUACGUCCUACGGGAGAAAGCAGGGGACCUUCGGGCCUUGCGCUAUCAGAUGAGCCUAGGUCGGAUUAGCUAGUUGGUGGGGUAAUGGCCCACCAAGGCGACGAUCCGUAACUGGUCUGAGAGGAUGAUCAGUCACACUGGAACUGAGACACGGUCCAGACUCCUACGGGAGGCAGCAGUGGGGAAUAUUGGACAAUGGGCGAAAGCCUGAUCCAGCCAUGCCGCGUGUGUGAAGAAGGUCUUCGGAUUGUAAAGCACUUUAAGUUGGGAGGAAGGGCAUUAACCUAAUACGUUAGUGUUUUGACGUUACCAACAGAAUAAGCACCGGCUAACUUCGUGCCAGCAGCCGCCGUAA